rfam:Acyrthosiphon pisum strain LSR1 Contig1026862, whole genome shotgun sequence.
AAAACGGUCCUUUUCAGGACCAACAACACAUGGCUAAAACCACGU